CCUACGGGAGGCAGCAGUGAGGAAUAUUGGUCAAUGGGCGUAAGCCUGAACCAGCCAAGUCGCGGGAGGGAUGAAGGUUCUAUGGAUCGUAAACCUCUUUUAUAAGGGAAUAAAGUGCGGGACGUGUCCCGUUUUGUAUGUACCUUAUGAAUAAGGAUCGGCUAACUCCGUGCCAGCAGCCGCGGUAAUACGGAGGAUCCGAGCGUUAGCCGGAUUUAUUGGGUUUAAAGGGUGCGUAGGCGGCCUUUUAAGUCAGCGGUGAAAGUCUGUGGCUCAACCAUAGAAUUGCCGUUGAAACUGGGAGUCUUGAGUAUGUUUGAGGCAGGCGGAAUGCGUGGUGUAGCGGUGAAAUGCUUAGAUAUCACGCAGAACCCCGAUUGCGAAGGCAGCCUGCCAAGCCAUGACUGACGCUGAUGCACGAAAGCGUGGGGAUCAAACAGGAUUAGAUACCCCUGUAGUC
rnacentral:rRNA from 1 species